UACGUAGGUGGCAAGCGUUGUCCGGAUUUACUGGGCGUAAAGGGCGCGUAGGCGGCCACCGCAAGUCGACUGUGAAAUCUCCGGGCUUAACCCGGAAAGGUCAGCCGAUACUGCGGGGCUAGAGUGCAGAAGGGGCAAGUGGAAUUCUCGGUGUAGCGGUGAAAUGCGUAGAUAUCGAGAGGAACACCUGCGGCGAAGGCGGGUUGCUGGGCUGGCACUGACGCUGAGGCGCGAAAGUGUGGGGAGCGAACAGG
rnacentral:rRNA from 1 species